GCGUAUGAUCUCGGAAGCUAAGCAGGGUCGGCCCUGGUUAGUACUUGGAUGGGAGACUGCAUGGGAGUACCAGGUACUGUAAGCU
ensembl:rRNA 5S_rRNA 5S ribosomal RNA